GUGUCAUCCGGGAGUAUUGGAAGAAAUGUUGCAAGUAAUGAAACACUACCUCAACAUUACGAAAUUCGUCAAUAUCACGGUGCGAAAAGAGACCGGUACAGACGAUGUGUUCCGUGUACAAGAAGCCUACUCUCACUAUCUGACACAUGGGGUGACAGACGUGCUGUUCGCCCACAUUGCGAUGGCCGAGUACCACACCUCGUGUACUGAUUUCGUCUUCACCCUGGAAUAUCACAAGUUA